UACGUAGGGUGCAAGCGUUAAUCGGAAUUACUGGGCGUAAAGCGUGCGCAGGCGGUGAUGUAAGACAGGUGUGAAAUCCCCGGGCUUAACCUGGGAACUGCAUUUGUGACUGCAUCGCUGGAGUGCGGCAGAGGGGGAUGGAAUUCCGCGUGUAGCAGGUGAAAUGCGUAGAUAUGCGGAGGAACACCGAUGGCGAAGGCA
rnacentral:rRNA from 1 species